rnacentral:lncRNA from 1 species
AGCUUUUGAGUAUUUGGCCGAAGUCGAUACGAAGUCACUUUAAUCGAUUUUCAAUUCUCGAUUUAUUUAACCAAUAUCCAACAAUCCCCCACAUGAAUGGAAAUUCCUCAAUAUGCGCAACACAAUGCGAAUGCAAUGAAAAUGAAAUGCAGACUCUAACAAAUGGAGUACACACGACAAGUCAUAGCAUCAAGAUAGGUAGCUUGUGGCCUUGAACCUUCUUUAGUUGAAUACAAUCGGAUUUACUAGGCUAGUUGGUGAACGCGAUGUCUUGAACCAUCCAGCCGUUUGUGUAAAACCAAACAACUGUACCAACACCAUGACUCAUCUAACCCAUUCGGUUCUCA